GUGGGGAGCGAACAGGAUUAGAUACCCUGGUAGUCCACGCCGUAAACGGUGGGAACUAGAUGUGGGGUCCGUUCCACGGAUUCCGUGUCGCAGCUAACGCAUUAAGUUCCCCGCCUGGGGAGUACGGCCGCAAGGCUAAAACUCAAAGGAAUUGACGGGGGCCCGCACAAGCGGCGGAGCAUGCGGAUUAAUUCGAUGCAACGCGAAGAACCUUACCAAGGCUUGACAUAUAGAGGAAAAGUGCAGAGAUGCACUCCCCGCAAGGUCUCUAUACAGGUGGUGCAUGGUUGUCGUCAGCUCGUGUCGUGAGAUGUUGGGUUAAGUCCCGCAACGAGCGCAACCCUCGUCCUAUGUUGCCAGCACGUAAUGGUGGGAACUCAUGGGAUACUGCCGGGGUCAACUCGGAGGAAGGUGGGGAUGACGUCAAAUCAUCAUGCCCCUUAUGUCUUGGGCUUCACGCAUGCUACAAUGGCCGGUACAGAGGGCAGCAAUACCGCAAGGUGGAGCGAAUCCCAGAAAGCCGGUCUCAGUUCGGAUUGAGGUCUGCAACUCGACCUCAUGAAGUCGGAGUCGCUAGUAAUCGCGAAUCAGCAACGUCGCGGUGAAUACGUUCCCGGGCCUUGUACACACCGCCCGUCAAGUCAUGAAAGUCGGUAACACCCGAAGCCGGUGGCCCAACCCUUGUGGAGGGAGCCGUCGAAGGUGGGAUCGGUGAUUAGGACUAAGUCGUAACAAGGUAGCCGUACCGGAAGGUGCGGCUG
rnacentral:rRNA from 1 species